GAUGAACGCUGGCGGCGUGCUUAACACAUGCAAGUCGAACGGGAAACAUUUUAUUGAAGCUUCGGCAGAUUUAGCUUGUUUCUAGUGGCGGACGGGUGAGUAACGCGUGGGUAACCUGCCUUAUACUGGGGGAUAACAGUCAGCAAUGGCUGCGAAUACCGCAUAAGCGCACGGAGCCGCAUGGCUCAGUGUGAAAAACUCCGGUGGUAUAAGAUGGACCCGCGUUGGAUUAGCUAGUUGGCAGGGCAGCGGCCUACCAAGGCGACGAUCCAUAGCCGGCAUGAGAGGGUGAACGGCCACAUUGGGACUGAGACACGGCCCAGACUCCUACGGGAGGCAGCAGUGGGGAAUAUUGCACAAUGGGGGAAACCCUGAUGCAGCGACGCCGCGUGAAGGAAGAAGUAUCUCGGUAUGUAAACUUCUAUCAGCAGGGAAGAUAAUGACGGUACCUGACUAAGAAGCCCCGGCUAACUACGUGCCAGCCGCCGCCGUAA
rnacentral:rRNA from 1 species